rnacentral:lncRNA from 1 species
CAGACGGAUCGCAAAGUACCGUUUAAAUGCGGUUUAUAACCGUUUAAUAACCAUUCACGUAAUUGUCAGCAUUUUGCAAUUUUGCUUUUAAUUAUUUACUCCUUUCAGCGACGUCUCAGUGCUACUCGCUGACGAUUUGCAGAAUAAGCAUAACUUUCGCUGCGGGCUAAACCAUUUGUUUUUGGUUCAUUUAUUAUUUGCAUUGAGUUCUUGGAAAAUAAUUUUGUGGUGAAUGUGUGCUUUGAUAUUCGUUUAUUGAAGUGUUGAUGAAUUGAUGCAGCUGUUUUCGGGAGUCAUGGAGUAAGCGUGUGAAGACUAUCCACCGACUACCGGUUUAUCCACCAGGCCUACGCGUUUGCCGCAUAAACGUAUCGAAAGGUUGCGUGUUGUGGCCCCUUUUCAUUAAAUGUAAUAAAAACAAUAUACGAAAAUUAAACCAUCAGCAGGAAGGCUGGCAAACAUGGACGGAACAGGUCGGCAAACAUCAAAGUGGCCAGCAUAAAUACACACAUACAUUCAUACAUAAGUGUACGCGCUGCCGCCGCUGCCAUGAAGUCGAAAAGAAAAACAUUGAAAAUUUCUCAGUAAGAAAACACAAACAAAAAAUCGACGAAGCAACGAACUUAUCGGCGUAGUUAGUCGCGGUAGUGGACGCGGCUAAGUGAAGUUAAAGCCACCGGAGGGCAAUGUGCAAGCAUAGCAGACAACUAUAAACCUAAAUACAUACAUACAUAUAUAACUUGAUAUAAAACAGAACAUAACGCGUUGGAGAACUUGAAGAAGAUGAUGGUGAUGAUUACGAUGACACAAGCGGCCGCCGCUUAGCCGAAUUGGAUAAAUAUGCGCCAAAGGGAAUGAGAAAGCGCCAAAAAUACAAAAUGCGUUAAAAUGAAAAAUAAUAAUAAAUAAAUAAAAAUAAAAAGUGAAAAAUUGCUUUGAAGUUGUAGUCUACAACGGCGGCGGAAGCUGCGCAAGAGCGCAUAGGCGGCAGCGGUGUUUACGUUCAAAAUAAUAACGUUAAUAUUUACAGAGGCGAGGAUUUUUAUAACGACAACACCGUAUUAUACACACGAAUAUGUCA